rnacentral:lncRNA from 1 species
CGAAGUGCAGAGCUGGUGGGGAGCAGAACUCGGAAGGUGCCCUGAGGAAGGAAUCCAUCCCAGAAAACAGUCAGUAGCGGCCUGGGCUAUGAGCAAGUGUUCUCAGGGAAGUUAAGAUGUGAGCUCAGCGGGAUCGUGAGCAUGACACCAGCUGCCUUUAACUUCCACGCACUGGGCUAAACUCUUUGAACCCACGACCUCUCUUAAUACAACAGCCCAUUAAAGAGGACUUGUUGGAUAAUCUGAGGCUCAAGAGGUGAAAGAGCCAGUCCAAGAUCACACAAACGAAGUGGCAGAGCUGAGGCCACCGACCCCAGAGCUCAAGCUCUCACCACCACACCUGCUCUGCCUUGCAUGACGAUUGACAGAGAACUUCUCAAAGGUGGUGUGCCAGGGGCAGGUGAAAAUAGCGCAGGCUGUGAGUUCCAAAUCCCACAUCUACCACGGAUUAGGCAGAUUGACCUCCCAGAGAUUGGAGAAGGCAGGUUUAGCUCAACCUGAUUCUUACUCAAGAGUUACAUUCAGAGAUCAAACAAGAUGGACUUCACUGGAAAUUGGGACCUCCCAGAGGGUGGCUCACUGAACCCGGCGAGGGCCAUGAAAAUGUGGAAACACAUGUCUGGGGCUGCUGUUCCUGGUCCUUUUAUCAGUAUGGCCUGACUCCUCCAACUGGUUUUUAAAUGCCUUGAGGAGAGGCAGGAUGGCCCAGGCGAAAGGGCACUGGACAGAGUGUAGAGGCCAGAGCUGCCCAGCUGCCUGCGGAAGAAGCUGUGCUGACCAGGAGCAGAGGCCUGAACCUGUCCCUGAGCCUGGUGCUCGCAUGCAGGUCUACACUGAGACCAAGGCCACCCAGUCACUAACGCUCCGCGUUCAGCCAGCGGGACCUCGGAGCGGCUUCUCUAGGAAUCCCGUACUCUGUUUAGGUCCAGCCGGCGCCGCCGCCCCCAACCCCCACCCCGCUGCCCACCGGCUUCUGACCACUAUCUCCUUCUCCCCUUUCAUCCUCCAGGCCCACAGGACUCCCCACCCCAACUCUCCUGCCUCAGCAUCACCCAUCCUUUUUCUUCCUGCUGAUCCAGCGAGCCGGGCUUUCUCCUUCUCUGGUCUCUCCUCCUCUCCCCCUUGAAUCCA